UUCUGAAGUAUGUUCGUACGGUACGAGCGCAUACACAAGAAUACCUAAAAGCCGAAGUAAAGGGCUAAAACCUCAAGAAAACCCCAACGAAGAAUUUCCGAAUUCCUUUGCUAAAUCCCUAAAGCAUGUCCUCCGCCGCUGCCAUGGCUGCUAGAUCAGCCUUCAGAUCAACCCUAGCCCGAGCCACUAUCUCCCGCAGACUUACCAAUGGUGCCAAAGUGAAAUCACCCGCAUCUCCGUUCAGCAUCCCCAAGCAGAAUCCACUCUCCCAGUCCCCUCGCAUUUUGAGAUCUCCUGUUGAAAUGAGUUGCUGUGUGGAAUCGUUGCUUCCUUACCACUCUGCUACUGCCUCUGCAUUGCUUACGUCUAUGCUUUCCGUCUCUCGUCGUAGCUACGGUUGGACUUCUGAAGGACAAGACGAGACUAUUUGAGGUCUCAGCAUGAACGGUGGAAUGACUGGAUUUAUUUUUGUUGUCGACUUUUUGGAAAUUGUGAUUCUUGAAUGAUGAAUGCUACCACUGAGCAGGACUUACCUAAGGAUCGUGAGAGAUUGCUCAUUGCUGAACUUGGCUAAGCGACUUGCUGUGUGAUUCUUUACUGUUUACUUGACUUAGAAGUCCUAGGGGGGUGGACACCUUUACAAUUUCGAAGCUGGAGAAUAAUAAUAUACAUGUUUGUUAAUCAUGAUGUUUUAGCCAUAAAAAUUGAACUUUAGAUGAGUCGGUUACAGUUUUUAGACAAUGUUUAUAAUCGACAUUUCCCCUUUUCUUUUUUUGUAUUGUAGAUGGAUGAUUACUGUCUGUUGAGAUGCGGUGCAUCGAUCAUAGUUUCGAGAAUUUGAAUGGAGACUGUAAGAUUUUUUUUUACUAAGAUGAUGAUACGUGAUUUGUGAUUUAAGAUUUCCAUCUGUAGAAUUAUGUUUUUAUGAUUACCUGCAAGUAACAGUAAGUAAUUUCCUUA